rnacentral:lncRNA from 1 species
CGCUAAGAAGGUGGAGUGGAGUGCAGGGCCAUCCCAGAAGUCUUGAAACUAGUAGAAGAGGAAGAAGGGCCGAGGAAUAUUUGAAUCAAGUGGAAUGCUUUAGAGGUCAUCAACUACCUUAACGGAACAAGAGGUAUUCCUUGGAGUCAAAAGUUCAACGUUUAGUUGGCACCACAACAUUUAGUUUGGUCAUUAGAAAUAUGACUAGGGUAGAAUAUGGCCUUCAUGUAACUAGACGAUUUUAGUGAGCUCUUAGGGCUCCUAAAUGAAUGUAUAAUUUUUCUUCGAAAUAGAAAAAAU